rnacentral:rRNA from 1 species
UACGUAGGGUACAAGCGUUAAUCGGAAUUACUGGGCGUAAAGCGUACGCAGGCGGCUUUGCAAGACAGGUGUGAAAUCCCCGGGCCUAACCUGGGAACUGCAUUUGUGACUGCAUAGCUAGAGUUUGUCAGAGGGGGGUGGAAUUCCACGUGUAGCAGUGAAAUGCGUAGAUAUGUGGAGGAACACCGAUGGCGAAGGCAGCCCCCUGGGAUGUGACUGACGCUCAUGUACGAAAGCGUGGGGAGCAAACAGG